UGUGUGAACAACAGUGUCUGCCAAAAUGGC
rnacentral:piRNA from 1 species